rnacentral:rRNA from 1 species
GAUGAACGCUGGCGGCGUGCUUAAUACAUGCAAGUCGAACGGAGACUGUAGCAAUACUGUCUUAGUGGCGAACGGGUGAGUAACGCGUUGGUGACCUGCCCCGAAGAGAGGGAUAACAGUCCGAAAGGAUUGCUAAUACCCCAUGUGGUCGUUUGGAUUAGAUGCCUUAUGACUAAACGGAUUUAUUCGCUUCGGGAGGGGCCUGCGUCCCAUCAGCUAGUUGGUGAGGUAAUAGCUUACCAAGGCGAUGACGGGUAGGGGACCUGAGAGGGUGGCCCCCCACAAUGGAACUGAAACACGGUCCAUACACCUACGGGUGGCAGCAGUAGGGAAUAUUGGUAAUCUGGGAAACCGGGAACCAGCAACGCCGCGUGCGCGAUGACGGCCUUCGGGUUGUAAAGCGCUUUUUAAAGGGAUGAGGAAGGACAGUACCUUUAGAAUAAGCCUCGGCUAACUACGUGCCAGCAGCCGCCGUAACAC